rnacentral:rRNA from 1 species
GAUGAACGCUGGCGGCGUGCCUAAUACAUGCAAGUCGAGCGAACAGACGAGGAGCUUGCUCCUCUGACGUUAGCGGCGGACGGGUGAGUAACACAUGGAUAACCUACCUAUAAGACUGGGAUAACUUCGGGAAACCGGAGCUAAUACCGGAUAAUAUAUUGAACCGCAUGGUUCAAUAGUGAAAGACGGUUUUGCUGUCACUUAUAGAUGGAUCCGCGCCGCAUUAGCUAGUUGGUAAGGUAACGGCUUACCAAGGCAACGAUGCGUAGCCGACCUGAGAGGGUGAUCGGCCACACUGGAACUGAGGCACGGUCCAGGCUCCUACGGGAGGCAGCAGUAGGGAAUCUUCCGCAAUGGGCGAAAGCCUGACGGAGCAACGCCGCGUGAGUGAUGAAGGUCUUCGGAUCGUAAAACUCUGUUAUUAGGGAAGAACAAAUGUGUAAGUAACUAUGCACGUCUUGACGGUACCUAAUCAGAAAGCCACGGCUAACUACGUG